rnacentral:lncRNA from 1 species
AACCUCUCUGGUAAAUUCACCGCAACCGCGCCACCACUCCUCGAGCAUAGGAGCUAGGAGAAACCAGAACCACCUAGAGCCCUCCCCCACACUCCAAUCCUCUAGAGGGAAGUCACAGGCGAUGGUGCCAUUUUGGCCGAUGCUGGCGUCCGUUGUGGAGCUCACCCUCGAUACCUCCGACCAUCGUAGCACGCGUGGCGCACCUUCAUAGGAUCACCGCGAUGUCCGUACCUCGUUCCCAUGCACCGAGCCCAGGGACACACCCUCAUUCGACGACGAGGAGCACAGGAGCUCCGUUGCGGUUCGGGUGUGGGAGAGAGGAGGUAUCUGACUGGUCAAACUAGACCGGUGGACCCAAUGGUCCCGCCGAGGCGUUUAAGUGGAAACGUAUUCCCUCAGAGAAUGCUUUCCUGAGGAGAAAAUGUAAGAUUUGUCGAACCAUUUUAUUUUCUGUGAUUUAUUAAAAACCAGACUUUGACCCCAACUUUGACCAGUCAUAGAUUUUUAACUACAACUUUAAAUGAGUUGAUUCUUUUCCCACCUUCUUCAAAUUUUCUCUAGUUUAUUUUAGUAUUUAUUUGAAAAUUUUCCAAACAAAUUUUUAGUACUAUUUUGGAAAGUUCUGUUGAUUCGGAUAUUUUUCAAAAAUAGGAAAUGGAGGGAAGACUAUACUUUCAAAAGUUUUGGAGUGUACCCUAUCUUCUUCAUACAAAAGGCAAGCAUCUUGAACACUGAUAUGAUCUCGUUGAGUGGUAAAUUUUGGUGGUGCUUGAUUUGUACGGUUAUGGUGAUGAAGUGAACAUAAUUACAUGGUGAUACUUCAUGCAAUUUGUGUGUGAUGAAAACUCCAUUUCUGUUCAACAUGGAGUGCAUGUGACAGUAGUCACCUCUUCAUGCCACACAUGUUGAUGCUAACCGGAUUAAUUCCGGCAGAAGGUCACGUCUCGGGUAGAUACGACCAUGGGACGGGUAUCCCGUUGUGACAGAGAUGAUCCAUGGAGGCAUGAUGGGGCAUGAUAGGAGGUACUAUGUCGGAUAAUUGUGAAGAAAAACGGUUGUGCUAACCAUGCAGGGAAUUCGUAAGCCUCCUGAGUCGGUCGUAGAUCGAGUCUUGUUCCACUAACCUCCCAUACUUGUUUCGUACUACUACUUGUCCCUUCCAUGGGUAGGGUACGGUUUAGUAAGUCGUCAACCGCUUUCUUAUCACACGCGAUACACACAGGCCACAAUGGAAGAUACCAGGGAUGAAUCUAGUAGGCAUGCCGCUUGGUCCGGGGGCAUGGACAUUUCCUUCCUAGGGCUGAGAGGGGGGCACUUCUUAGUUGCGCACGGUAUAAAUUUGAUCCCAUGCUAAUCGAGAUUUGAAAUCUCCCCACUUAGAGUUUUACUUAACGAGUGAUGCAGUUGAUCCCAGGCAUCGGGAAGUUCAACUGGUGUGCGGGUCAGGCGUGUUUCCAACUCAAACACCGUAAUCGGAAUUAGAUCACGUUUCUGGUUAACUAAAGAAAUAUGUUACACAUGGGUAAAGAGUACACCCUCUAUAGAGUUUUACACCUAAUCGGGUAGUCGUGUCCGCGGUUAAGGACCGCGGUCUGGGAUAGGUCAAGUGUCGGCCUAAGUGUCGGUCUUUGGAGGAAAUUAAUUUAACUAUGAGGAUAACCGUAACUCAUGGCGGAUGACCAUAUUUUUAUUGUUGUGGACUAACCUCUUUUUCUAUAUGAAUCUGGUAUUUCCCUAGGAUGGUUCUACCUCAUGGAUAUUCAUCAUUAUGAUUAUCUUAUAAGCACUUUAUGCGGUGUCGCUUAGACACCCGACUAUGGCACGCAUUUUAUUAUUUCAUAUAAGCCCUUUAUGCGGUAUCGCUCAGAUGCCUGACUGUGGCACGCAUUUUAUUAUCCCAUCUAAUCCCUUGGUGCGGUGUCGCUCAGACACCAGACUGUGGCUCGUAUUCUAUUAUUUCAUAUAAGCCCGUUACGCGGUGUCGCUCACACGCCCAACUGUGGCACAUGUUUUUAUCCCAUAUAAGCCCUUUAUGUGGUGUCGCUCAGACGCCCGACUAUGGCACGCCUUUUAUUAUCCCAUAUAAGCCCUUUAUGUCAUGUCGCUCACACGCCCCACUGAGGCAUGCUUUAUAUCUUUAUCCUUUCGAGGUGUCGCGUCAUACAGCUGAUUGGACUAUUUUAUGUUCUAGGAAAUUUUGGGAGGAUUACAGCCCGAUGUUUCAUUUUAUUUUCAUUAAUUGAUUGCUUGUUUAGUUCUUAGUAUGAAUAAAUUUCCUGCUUACUUGCAUUUAUGAAUUUAUCUGAUGACUCAUUGAAUACCUUUGGGUAACUUUUAGUGCAUAAUAGUCACGUGCUAUUUUAUGUCUGUUUUUGUGAUGUUUGCGAGUACAGUCAAAGUACUCACUCGCUUAUCCCUCUCCAUUGUCUUUUACGUAUUUCAUAUUUGGAGAGGGGCAUCAUGACGGCAGCCCGGGAAUCUAGGCAUCGAGGAUUGCAGCCGCGCGAGAUAGGAAUUAACCAGGUGAGCUGUUCGUGUGGGAAAUGGAGUCCCAUAGAUGCUGGAGGCCAUCAACCACUAGAGACAUUUGUUGUACUCCAUAGACCAUUAUGGUAUUAUACUCCAACAUUAUGUAUUUUCUUGGAUAUUUGUAUCAAGGAAGUGUGCACGAGUUAACAGUACUCCUGGGGCUGGUAUGCACAAUUGUCAUUUGAUGGGAAUUUAAUAUCCCGGAAAAAUCGGCCCUGAUAAUAGGCAACUAACAAUUUUAAGCUAUUCUUUAACAAAUUAAGUUUAGCAACAAAUAGGUCGUCUAGAUAUGGAACUAAAUGAUCAACCUAUAUGAUGCUAGCAAUAAUAAUAACAAAC